rnacentral:rRNA from 1 species
UGGUGAAUAUUGCACAAUGGGCGAAAGCCUGAUGCAGCGACGCCGCGUGAGGGAUGACGGCCUUCGGGUUGUAAACCUCUUUCAGCAGGGACGAAGCGCAAGUGACGGUACCUGCAGAAGAAGCACCGGCUAACUACGUGCCAGCAGCCGCGGUAAUACGUAGGGUGCAAGCGUUGUCCGGAAUUACUGGGCGUAAAGAGUUCGUAGGCGGUUUGUCGCGUCGUUUGUGAAAACCAGCAGCUCAACUGCUGGCUUGCAGGCGAUACGGGCAGACUUGAGUACUGCAGGGGAGACUGGAAUUCCUGGUGUAACGGUGAAAUGCGCAGAUAUCAGGAGGAACACCGGUGGCGAAGGCGGGUCUCUGGGCAGUAACUGACGCUGAGGAACGAAAGCGUGGGUAGCGAACAGG